rnacentral:lncRNA from 1 species
GCCGGCUCCACUUUAGCUUCAAUUUCUUCCGGACCAUAAAAGCAGCGGAGUUUACCCCCUCUCAGAGCACAGUACAGCCUUCUCCAGCCAACCAGACCUUUUCCUGUUUGCUGGAAGGAAAAAAAAAAGUCAAACAACUAUCAAUUAUCAAUUUCCAUCACAACCCCCUUAACUUUAACCCCAGCUCGGUAUUUACAUAAUCAGUGAAGGUUUUAGAACUUUAAAAACGGCCCGGAAUUAGCUAUGCAUCGGCUGUACAGUUAAGGCUGAGCACCUCAAACCCAAGAGCGGAGGAGACGCCUGGAGUUCUCAGAAGCAUUAAGCAAAAUGAAGAACACUAGAAGAUGUUGACUACCUGGUAAGAAUGCAGAUUUUUCUUUCCUUCUAAUGGAAUCUUUUAGCAAAAAAAAAAAAAAAAAAGAAAGGCCCUCUCGAGCAAACGCCUGCAUAGAGAGUCCGACUGGUACCCCAAGCCGAGGGACAUGUGACGUGUUCUACCUGUUCAUUAAGGAAUCCUGCAAAUGCAUCUGCAGCCAUGCAAGCUGGCUGGGCCACCAGCCGGCAGCACACGUUGCCAUACAAGGGAAGCCAAAAGGAACACUCCUCUGUUUAAGGAAGCAAGGGGAGAAAGGGGCAAGUUAUAAAUGUACAUUUACGGUUGUUACAC